CAGUGAUGCUCUGGAAAGUGUACCGGGCUUUCGGCCCGGUGCCGCCGAAGGGGUAACUUCGCGGGUGUCGAAUCGCGCGCGUGGGGAAAACUCUCAGGUUUUCGCGACAGAGGGGGCUCC
rnacentral:ncRNA from 2 species